GGCCUGAUGCCACGUCUCCAGAAGCGAAUGCAGUGACUGGUGAUGCUAUUAUCAAGCCAAUACAAAGGCCUUUUGGCAUUUCGUUUGCUGAUAGGAAUCUGUUGAUAACUUUUAAUUUAUCUACGGAGCCGUUUACGGCGAUUACAUCA